rnacentral:rRNA from 1 species
GGGUUGUGAGGUUAAGCGACUAAGCGUACACGGUGGAUGCCCUGGCAGUCAGAGGCGAUGAAGGACGUGCUAAACUGCGAAAAGCGCCGGCGAGGUGAUAUGAACCUUUGACCCGGCGAUGUCCGAAUGGGGAAACCCAGUGCAAUCCGUUGCACUAUCGUUAACUGAAUACAUAGGUUAACGAGGCGAACCGGGGGAACUGAAACAUCUAAGUACCCCGAGGAAAAGAAAUCAACCGAGAUUCCCCCAGUAGCGGCGAGCGAACGGGGAGCAGCCCGGAGUCUGAAUCAGCUUGUGUGUUAGUGGAACGGUCUGGAAAGUCCGACGGUACAGGGUGAUAGUCCCGUACACGAAAGCACACAUGCUGUGAACUCGAAGAGUAGGGCGGGACACGUGGUAUCCUGUCUGAAUAUGGGGGGACCAUCCUCCAAGGCUAAAUACUCCUGACUGACCGAUAGUGAACCAGUACCGUGAGGGAAAGGCGAAAAGAACCCCGGCGAGGGGAGUGAAAAAGAACCUGAAACCGUGUACGUACAAGCAGUGGGAGCCUCUUUAUGGGGUGACUGCGUACCUUUUGUAUAAUGGGUCAGCGACUUAUAUUCUGUAGCAAGGUUAACCGUAUAGGGGAGCCGAAGGGAAACCGAGUCUUAACUGGGCGUUAAGUUGCAGGGUAUAGACCCGAAACCCGGUGAUCUAGCCAUGGGCAGGUUGAAGGUUGGGUAACACUAACUGGAGGACCGAACCGACUAAUGUUGAAAAAUUAGCGGAUGACCUGUGGCUGGGGGUGAAAGGCCAAUCAAACCGGGAGAUAGCUGGUUCUCCCCGAAAGCUAUUUAGGUAGCGCCUCGUGAACUCAUCUUCGGGGGUAGAGCACUGUUUCGGCUAGGGGGCCAUCCCGGCUUACCAACCCGAUGCAAACUACGAAUACCGAAGAAUGUUAUCACGGGAGACACACGGCGGGUGCUAACGUCCGUCGUGAAGAGGGAAACAACCCAGACCGCCAGCUAAGGUCCCAAAGUCAUGGUUAAGUGGGAAACGAUGUGGGAAGGCACAGACAGCCAGGAUGUUGGCUUAGAAGCAGCCAUCAUUUAAAGAAAGCGUAAUAGCUCACUGGUCGAGUCGGCCUGCGCGGAAGAUGUAACGGGGCUAAACCAUGCACCGAAGCUGCGGCAGCGACGCUUAUGCGUUGUUGGGUAGGGGAGCGUUCUGUAAGCCGUUGAAGGUGUCCUGUGAGGGGUGCUGGAGGUAUCAGAAGUGCGAAUGCUGACAUAAGUAACGAUAAAGCGGGUGAAAAGCCCGCUCGCCGGAAGACCAAGGGUUCCUGUCCAACGUUAAUCGGGGCAGGGUGAGUCGACCCCUAAGGCGAGGCCGAAAGGCGUAGUCGAUGGGAAACAGGUUAAUAUUCCUGUACUUGGUGUUACUGCGAAGGGGGGACGGAGAAGGCUAUGUCAGCCGGGCGACGGUUGUCCCGGUUUAAGCAUGUAGGCGGAGGUUCCAGGUAAAUCCGGUACCUUGUUAACGCUGAGGUGUGAUGACGAGGCACUACGGUGCUGAAGUGAUAAAUGCCCUGCUUCCAGGAAAAGCCUCUAAGCAUCAGGUAACACGAAAUCGUACCCCAAACCGACACAGGUGGUCAGGUAGAGAAUACCAAGGCGCUUGAGAGAACUCGGGUGAAGGAACUAGGCAAAAUGGUGCCGUAACUUCGGGAGAAGGCACGCUGAUGUGUAGGUGAAGUCCCUGCGGACGGAGCUGAAAUCAGUCGAAGAUACCAGCUGGCUGCAACUGUUUAUUAAAAACACAGCACUGUGCAAACACGAAAGUGGACGUAUACGGUGUGACGCCUGCCCGGUGCCGGAAGGUUAAUUGAUGGGGUUAGCGGCAACGCGAAGCUCUUGAUCGAAGCCCCGGUAAACGGCGGCCGUAACUAUAACGGUCCUAAGGUAGCGAAAUUCCUUGUCGGGUAAGUUCCGACCUGCACGAAUGGCGUAAUGAUGGCCAGGCUGUCUCCACCCGAGACUCAGUGAAAUUGAACUCGCUGUGAAGAUGCAGUGUACCCGCGGCAAGACGGAAAGACCCCGUGAACCUUUACUAUAGCUUGACACUGAACACUGGUCCUUGAUGUGUAGGAUAGGUGGGAGGCUUUGAAGCGUGGACGCCAGUCUGCGUGGAGCCAACCUUGAAAUACCACCCUUUAAUGGCUGGUGUUCUAACGUAGACCCGUAAUCCGGGUUGCGGACAGUGUCUGGUGGGUAGUUUGACUGGGGCGGUCUCCUCCCAAAGAGUAACGGAGGAGCACGAAGGUUGGCUAAUCCUGGUCGGACAUCAGGAGGUUAGUGCAAUGGCAUAAGCCAGCUUGACUGCGAGCGUGACGGCGCGAGCAGGUGCGAAAGCAGGUCAUAGUGAUCCGGUGGUUCUGAAUGGAAGGGCCAUCGCUCAACGGAUAAAAGGUACUCCGGGGAUAACAGGCUGAUACCGCCCAAGAGUUCAUAUCGACGGCGGUGUUUGGCACCUCGAUGUCGGCUCAUCACAUCCUGGGGCUGAAGUAGGUCCCAAGGGUAUGGCUGUUCGCCAUUUAAAGUGGUACGCGAGCUGGGUUUAGAACGUCGUGAGACAGUUCGGUCCCUAUCUGCCGUGGGCGCUGGAGAAUUGAGGGGGGCUGCUCCUAGUACGAGAGGACCGGAGUGGACGCAUCACUGGUGUUCGGGUUGUCAUGCCAAUGGCACUGCCCGGUAGCUAAAUGCGGAAGAGAUAAGUGCUGAAAGCAUCUAAGCACGAAACUUGCCCCGAGAUGAGUUCUCCCUGAGACCUUGAGUCUCCUGAAGGAACGUUGAAGACGACGACGUUGAUAGGUCGGGUGUGUAAGCGCAGCGAUGCGUUGAGCUAACCGAUACUAAUGAACCGUGAGGCUUAACCUUACAACGCCGAAGCUGUU